UGAGUACGAGACGCUAAGGCGUCGAAGUAGUGGAUGUCAUACUUCCAAGAAAAGCUUGCACUGUCAUAAGUAAAAAACGCCUGUACCAUAACCGACACAGGUGGGUAGGUAGAGUAUACUAAGGGGCGCGAGAUAACUCUCUCUAAGGAACUCGGCAAAAUGACUCCGUAACUUCGGGAGAAGGAGUGCCUUAUUCGUAAGGCUGCAAUAACAAGAUCCAAGCAACUGUUUAUCAAAAACACAGGUCUCCGCUAAGUCGUAAGACGAUGUAUGGGGGCUGACGCCUGCCCAGUGCCAGAAGGUUAAAGAAGUCGGUUAGCAUUAGCGAAGCUGGUAACUGAAGCCCUGGUGAACGGCGGCCGUAACAAUAACGGUCCUAAGGUAGCGAAAUUCCUUGUCGGGUAAGUUCCGACCCGCACGAAAGGCGUAAUGAUUUGGAUACUGUCUCGGAGAGGGGCUCGGUGAAAUAGACUUGUCUGUGAAGAUGCGGACUACCUGCACCAGGACAGAAAGACCCUAUGAAGCUUUACUGUAACUUGAAAUUGAAAUUGGACUUUAUUCGCGCAGUAUAGGUGGGAGGUGUUGAUUAUAAUCUUGCGGGAUUAUUGGAGCCAUCAGUGAGAUACCACUCUUGUAAUGUUAGAUUUCUAACUUUGAAUCAUUAUCUGGUCAAAGAACAGUUUCAGGCGGGCAGUUUGACUGGGGCGGUCGCCUCCUAAAUGGUAACGGAGGCGUACAAAGGUUUCCUCUGAACGGGUAGAAAUCGUAUCUAGAGUGUAAAGGCAUAAGGAAGCUUGACUGUGAGACCUACAAGUCGAGCAGGGACGAAAGUCAGUCUUAGUGAUCUGACGGUACUGAGUGGAAAGGCCGUCACUCAACGGAUAAAAGUUACUCUAGGAUAACAGGCUGAUCUCCCCCAAGAGUUCACAUCGACGGGGAGGUUUGGCACCUCGAUGUCGGCUCAUCGCAUCCUGGGGCGGUAGUACGUCCCAAGGGUUGGGCUGUUCGCCCAUGAAAGCGGUACGCGAGCUGGGUUCAGAACGUCGUGAGACAGUUCGGUCCAUAUCCGGUGUAGGCGUUAGAAUAUUGAGAGGAGCCUUCUUUAGUACGAGAGGACCGAGAAGGACAUACCUCUGGUGUACCAGUUAUCGUGCCAACGGCAAACGCUGGGUAGCUAUGUAUGGAGUGGAUAACCGCUGAAAGCAUCUAAGUGGGAAGCCCACCUCAAGAUAAGUAUUCUC
rnacentral:rRNA from 1 species